GACGAACGCUGGCGGCGUGCCUAAUACAUGCAAGUAGAACGCACAGUUUAUACCGUAGCUUGCUACACCAUAAACUGUGAGUUGCGAACGGGUGAGUAACGCGUAGGUAACCUGCCUGGUAGCGGGGGAUAACUAUUGGAAACGAUAGCUAAUACCGCAUAAUAUUGAUUAUUGCAUGAUAAUUGAUUGAAAGAUGCUAUUGCAUCACUACCAGAUGGACCUGCGUUGUAUUAGCUAGUAGGUUAGGUAACGGCUCACCUAGGCGACGAUACAUAGCCGACCUGAGAGGGUGAUCGGCCACACUGGGACUGAGACACGGCCCAGACUCCUACGGGAGGCAGCAGUAGGGAAUCUUCGGCAAUGGACGAAAGUCUGACCGAGCAACGCCGCGUGAGUGAAGAAGGUUUUCGGAUCGUAAAGCUCUGUUGUAAGAGAAGAACGGGUGUGAGAGUGGAAAGUUCACACUGUGACGGUAUCUUACCAGAAAGGGACGGCUAACUACGUG
rnacentral:rRNA from 1 species